rnacentral:lncRNA from 1 species
CCAACAUGCAGCGAAGUUAAACCAAUUGCCCGAAUCCUUCCGCUGGUCAGCGGUGGGGCCCAAAUUCCACCUCAGACCCUGCUCCUUUCCUUUCUUGAGUGAUUGUCGCUGCAGCCCCGAGGUAAGGGAGGUGGCCUCACUUUACAGGGAGAAAGCCGAGGCCCUGAGCAGGUGGAAGCUGGCUGUGAGUCAUGUGGCUGCGCGGGGCUCGGAUCCCAUGGCUCUUCUGUGACGACCUGCAGGGCCAGUUCCUUCACUCACCGAGAGUUCUUAAGGCCUCUCUGAGUCAGAGGACUCCUACUUAAUACCGGUUUCGGCCCGCUGACCUAUUAUUAUUUUUUUCCCCUCUGAGCAUCCGGAAAGGGCUGGCGUGGUGCAGCGGCAGCUUUGCCAGCACAAGCCCUACAUGGAGGAGCCCUUUUAUUUUGCUGUCAGGGCAAUGAGACCCCCCACCCAACACAUACACACUCCACUCUACCAACCCGCACUCCUCCCCAGCAUCCCCAUUCCCAUCCCCCAGUCAACAGCUUCAUCUUUAUUUUGGCAAAUAUGAUGGACACAAGAGGCCAGCUGGGAAGGGAAACCAAGGCCCUAAGAGCUGCCCAGGCCUGAGGAGCGGCAGAUGGAGAUGCCUGGGUGUCUGAGUGCAGGAGCUUCAAGCUGCCUGUAUCUCCAGCACCCAGUCACCUGCUGUCCCAUCUGGUUGCCCCCCUGAAUCCCAUCUGUGCCCUUUGCUCUAUCUCGAAAGAGACCUGGGCCUGCAAGAGGAAGAGAAUCGCCUGAGGACACAGGAGCGGGGACGGGAGCCAGGCUUUGAGUCAGUCCUCCCUCUCCUGGGCAAGCCAUGGAUCAUCCUGCCCAGCACUUCUCGUCCUUGACGGCUGAGUUCUGAAGGGAGGAAGGCAAGACCCGAAGAGACAGAUGGACACUCCCAGGAUGACACAGUUCACAGCAAGGCCAAGAUGCAAAUUAAUCUCCUAACUCUCAUUACAACAGCUUCUACUUUUGCCUCUUCUGGGUUCUUUCAUUCACUCAACAGACAUUUGCAGAGUUAGCUCAUAGUCUCUCUUAAGUUUUAGAUAUUUGAAGAUAAGCGUUAAAAGUCCCUAUGAUUGGGGAACCCACAGCUUAUGGGAGAGGCAAGUAUUAGAGGUGAUUUACUACAACUCGAGGGAUUUACUGCAACUCGAGGGAUUUACUACGCAAAGUGCUGGGCAUUCCAAGGAGGCAUGGAAGCUCUCUGAACACCAGGGCAGUAACUGCUCUGCCCAGGAGAGUGGGGUCCACUCUUGCACCUUGAAGGACCAGGGAUGAGGAAAGUGGUUCAGAUGAAUUUCUGAAUUAGUCUGACUAGGCUCUGAACCUGGCGCACAAUAAAUGUAGUAAAUAUUGAUGCAAUAAAUAAAGCCCUUGCAAGUCAACAGACAAAAC